rnacentral:rRNA from 1 species
UACAGAGGGUGCGAGCGUUAAUCGGAAUUACUGGGCGUAAAGCGCGCGUAGGCGGCUUUGCAAGUCGGGUGUGAAAUCCCCAGGCUUAACCUGGGAACUGCAUUCGAGACUGCAUUGCUAGAGUAUGGGAGAGGGAAGUGGAAUUUCCGGUGUAGCGGUGAAAUGCGUAGGUAUCGGAAGGAACAUCAGUGGCGAAAGCGACUUCCUGGACCAAUACUGACGCUCAUGUGCGAAAGCGUGGGGAGCAAACAGG